GCAUAUCAAUAAGCGGAGGAAAAGAAACCAACCGGGAUUGCCUCAGUAACGGCGAGUGAAGCGGCAAGAGCUCAAAUUUGAAAGCUGGCUCCUUCGGGGUCCGCAUUGUAAUUUGCAGAGGAUGCUUCGGGUGCGGCCCCUGUCUAAGUGCCCUGGAACGGGCCGUCAGAGAGGGUGAGAAUCCCGUCUGGGAUGGGGUGUCCGCGCCCGUGUGAAGCUCCUUCGACGAGUCGAGUUGUUUGGGAAUGCAGCUCUAAAUGGGUGGUAAAUUUCAUCUAAAGCUAAAUACUGGCCGGAGACCGAUAGCGCACAAGUAGAGUGAUCGAAAGAUGAAAAGCACUUUGAAAAGAGAGUUAAAAAGCACGUGAAAUUGUUGAAAGGGAAGCGCUUGCGACCAGACUCGCCUCCAGGGUUCAGCCGGCAUUCGUGCCGGUGUACUUCCCUGGGGGCGGGCCAGCGUCGGUUUGGGCGGCCGGUCAAAGGCUCCCGGAAUGUAGUGCCCUUCGGGGCACCUUAUAGCCGGGAGUGCAAUGCGGCCAGCCUGGACCGAGGAACGCGCUUCGGCACGGACGCUGGCAUAAUGGUCGCAAACGACCCGUCUUGAAACACGGACCAAGGAGUCUAACAUCUACGCGAGUGUUCGGGUGUCAAACCCGUACGCGCAGUGAAAGCGAACGGAGGUGGGAGCCCCCUCGCGGGGCGCACCAUCGACCGAUCCUGAUGUCUUCGGAUGGAUUUGAGUAAGAGCGUAAAUGUGGGGACCCGAAAGAUGGUGAACUAUGCCUGAAUAGGGCGAAGCCAGAGGAAACUCUGGUGGAGGCUCGCAGCGGUUCUGACGUGCAAAUCGAUCGUCAAAUUUGGGUAUAGGGGCGAAAGACUAAUCGAACCAUCUAGUAGCUGGUUCCUGCCGA
rnacentral:rRNA from 2 species